UGGGGAAUAUUGCACAAUGGGCGCAAGCCUGAUGCAGCCAUGCCGCGUGUAUGAAGAAGGCCUUCGGGUUGUAAAGUACUUUCAGUCGGGAGGAAGGUGGUAAGGUUAAUAACCUUAUCAAUUGACGUUACCGACAGAAGAAGCACCGGCUAACUCCGUGCCAGCAGCCGCGGUAAUACGGAGGGUGCAAGCGUUAAUCGGAAUUACUGGGCGUAAAGCGCACGCAGGCGGUUGAUUGAGUCAGAUGUGAAAUCCCCGGGCUUAACCCGGGAAUUGCAUCUGAUACUGGUCAGCUAGAGUCUUGUAGAGGGGGGUAGAAUUCCAUGUGUAGCGAUGAAAUGCGUAGAGAUGUGGAAGAAUACCGGUGGCGAAGGCGGCCCCCUGGACAAAGACUGACGCUCAGGUGCGAAAGCGUGGGGAGCAAACAGG
rnacentral:rRNA from 1 species